UAGAGGCAAUACCUGUUCCUGCCCU
rnacentral:piRNA from 1 species